rnacentral:misc_RNA from 1 species
AAUUCAGAUUAUUUAGAUUCUGAAGCUAAUAAUAAAAAAAUGGCGGACCUUUCGAUAUUUUUCUCCAAGUCUGGAAUAACAAAACUCGUCGAAUUGUUGUUCCUGAUCGUGGCAAUGGCUACAUUCUUCUCACUGCACGUAGUAAGACCAGGAAAUACAGCAGACCAAGACUCUGCGUACUUCAUCACAGCGAUGGUCGUGUCUGCUUUCCUGCAGACCUGCUUCCUGCUCAUCGUCUACGUCUUCGGUGGCAUGGCCAUCCAAAAAACUCUCUACGAGUUCAUAGUGAACAGCUUCUACGCUCUGAUGCUGAUGGUGGCAGCAAUUGUGAUGUUCACCGUCGCAAAAAUCGACGCCGGUGCGAUCGUAAGCGGGAUAUUUACCCUCCUAGCGACCGUGGCCUACGGAGCAGACAUUUAUUUCUCCUUGGUUAACAUGGGGGCACUGGCGAGGACUGAUACCCAGGGGGUAAACGCUCCCCCCAUGCCCGCUGGGGUUAACAGUCAACCUUUCACCCCUCCCCCAACUUACGUCCCUCCCCCAAGCUUGGUGGGGCCAGGUCCCUAUGUGGUCCCAAACCAGGAUAGGAAUAACGUCAACUCUGGGGAUCUUGGGACUACCAGAUCUUGAGAUGGGUCUACCAGAUCUACCAGAUCUUGGGAUUACCAGAUCUACCAGAUUUUGGGAAUACCAGAUCUACCAGAUCUUGGGAUUAUCAGAUCUACCAGAUCUUGUGUCUACCAGAUAUUGAGAUGGUCCUAAUAUAUAAUGAAAUGGUGCACUCAAAGAAAUUGUUGGAUUUUGUCCAAAUAGCGAUGUUUUUCGGCAUUAGUGUGAGUCAUCCCGGUUCAGGUUAGGAUAGAAUAAUAAAUAAGGUAUUAGUGCUACAUGAAGAAAAGCUAAUCACUAUUUGGGCAAAUGAUACGGUAAUUUUUCUGGGUGCGGAAUAUCCCUACCGAAAAUCACUGCUGGAUCUGGACUGGUCUUUCAAAUUCCGAUAUUUUAUCAUGAAUAAUUUUUGAAUAAUAUACACCGAUGUGACCUUCGGCAAAUUGUGCAAAGAUCCAGAAAACAUCAAAAUUUUUGGAAUUACUCGCAUUGUGCAGAAAAAUCACUCACUUAAUCGAUUAUUUUAUGUCCUCUACAUAUGGCGACUAAUUUUACAUUUACGAUGGGGAUUAAUUUUGGUAAUUGAUAAAAAUUUUGAAGCAGAAGCGGUAGUCAAAGGCACUAAUUACCUCAGGUAAAUAGCAUUGUAAAUAAGAGAAGCUAUUAGCAUGUCAGAUGGCCUUUAGACUUUCAAAUAAAACUCAGGACUUGAUUUUCGCCGGGUUUAUUAUCAAUAAAUAUUUUUAUAAUCAUUACUCAAUAAUAAUUUAUUUCAUUUAGCGUCAGUUCAUUAAAUAGUCGGUUAUUAAAUCAUAAUUCGAUUGAAAGCAUAAAUUUCUUUAUUCAUGCAAACUGUUGAGUAAACAUGAAUCAAGACUGUGCUUAUUCUACUUAAAAAUAAACAUAAUAUUACAUAAAUCAUACAAUAUUCUGGGGACUGGCUCACUGUCACUAGAUUUUAUUCGUACACGCACAAUUACUGUAGAGGUAUAACCGAACCUCCGGUAAUUUACCGGCAUAAUAUUGUUCACAAUAUAUCCAUUUUUUAUUAGAACUCUUUUAUUAAUCAGCAUAUUCGGACAGACCACAGGGAUUGUGGUCUGGGCUGCUGUCAGGGACUGAGGUCUGGGCUUGUCGUUAGGGAAUGAGGCCUGGGCUUGUCGUUAGGGAAUGAGGUCUGGUCUUGCUGUCAGGGUCUGAGGUCUGGACUUGCUGUUAGGGACUGAGGUCUGGACUUGCUGUCAGGGACUGAGGUCUGGGCUUGCUGUCAGGGACUGAGGUCUGGGCUUGCUGUCGGG